ACGAGAGAGAGGGCAAGGGAACAAACCCUAGUUCUAAAAUUCUGGCCAAAAAUCCUACAAAUCAAGAAGGCAAAGGGAUGAAUUAUUGAUGCAUGAGAUAGAAAUCACGAUCCCCUAAGUGUUAUAAGUGUCAAGCACGAAGAAGGAAGAAGGCGCAAGUCACUCGAAGGCACAAGCAUCUCAAGAUCGCGGUAAUUCCCUUGCUUGAUUGCGGCGCACCCGGACCGAACACACACACGCAAUGUCGACCUUAUACGCUUCCGGUCCAAGUUGUUUAUUUUGAUGGGUUAACUUACCAUUUUGUGUAGUAAAUGUUAAUUAGUAAGUGUCUAGUUUGUUAGUAUGAAGUUUAGAUCCUAAACUUUUGUGUAGUUUGUACCAAUGUUCAUGGCGAACCUUAUAUGGUC